rnacentral:rRNA from 1 species
CGUGUAGGCGGCUUUGUAAGUUGGGUGUGAAAGCCCUCGGCUUAACCGAGGAAGUGCGCCCAAAACUGCAUGGCUUGAGUACCGGAGAGGGUGGCGGAAUUCCCGGUGUAGAGGUGAAAUUCGUAGAUAUCGGGAGGAACACCAGCGGCGAAGGCGGCCACCUGGACGGAUACUGACGCUGAGACGCGAAAGCGUGGGGAGCAAACA